rnacentral:rRNA from 1 species
UGAACGCUAGCGACAGGCCUAACACAUGCAAGUCGAGGGGCAGCACAAGGAGCAAUCUGAGGUGGCGACCGGCGCACGGGUGAGUAACACGUAUGCAACCUGCCUGUAAGCGGGGAAUAACCCGUUGAAAGACGGACUAAUACCGCAUAAUACUAAAUUACUGCAUGGUAAUUUAUUUAAACAUUUAUGGCUUACAGAUGGGCAUGCGCAUGAUUAGCUAGUUGGAGAGGUAACGGCUCCCCAAGGCAACGAUCAUUAGGGGUUCUGAGAGGAAGGUCCCCCCACACUGGUACUGAGACACGGACCAGACUCCUACGGGAGGCAGCAGUGAGGAAUAUUGGUCAAUGGACGAGAGUCUGAACCAGCCAAGUCGCGUGCAGGAAGAAUUGUCCUAUGGAUUGUAAACUGCUUUUGCAGGGGAAUAAAGUGCAUCACGUGUGAUGUUUUGUAUGUACUCUGCGAAUAAGGAUCGGCUAACUCCGUGCCAGCCGCCGC